AUGUCAGAGCCCCGCCAUCCCCUGCGCCCCCUGCUCGCGCAGAAGUUCCCCGGCACGCUGCAGCAUAUUUCAUCCCGCCGUGUGGGCGGUAAUAUCUCACCCAGGGAGCAGCCAGAGAUACGGGGAACGAACAAAUCAGAGCCCCGCAGGUGUUAUCAUUUACAAUUUCGGGGAGAAAGAUUGCAGCGGAGUUGGGGGGGAAGGAUGACAGAAAGCAAGGUUUUUGCACCCGGAAUGGUGGCAGAGAGACGGCACCUGAUGGCUGAGGGGGGACUAACGUAUGCAUUUCGGGAAAAAGUCAUUGCCUUUUCUGACUCGGUUCCUGCAUCCUUAAAACAGGGAUCUGGACUGACCAGCCCUGCUGCAGAUCCCACAUUCGUGGCCUUGGAUUUCCAGCAGAACAAGCCUCUCCCCAUGCCAGAGGCACCUCAGCUUUAUGGUUUUUCAGUGUUACACUUUGCAGCACUGGCAGGUUUGCAGCCAAAUCCUUCUUGUGCAGAGCUAGCCUGACGCUGCGUGUGGCUCGCCUCCCGGCAGGCAGAAACAACAUCCAGGAGCAACCUUCUCCGUGCCACCACUGAUGGGGUGAAUCUAUGGAGUUAACUGCUCCCGAGGGUACUCGCAGCGAGAUGCAGGCUUCUCUGGCUGCAGAAAUCAUGACCCAGAGCAUG
rnacentral:lncRNA from 1 species